CGGGAAUUUUGGGCAAUGGGCGAAAGCCUGACCCAGCAACGCCGCGUGAGGGAUGAAGUAUUUCGGUAUGUAAACCUCGAAAGAAUGGGAAGAAUAAAUGACGGUACCAUUUAUAAGCUCCGGCUAACUACGUGCCAGCAGCCGCGGUAAUACGUAGGGAGCAAGCGUUGUUCGAAUUUACUGGGCGUAAAGGGCGCGUAGGCGGCGCGGUAAGUCACUUGUGUAAUCUCUGAGCUUAACUCAGAACGGCCAAGUGAUACUGCUGUGCUAGGGUGCGGAAGAGGCAACCGGAAUUCUUGGUGUAGCGGUGAAAUGCGUAGAUAGCAAGAGGAACACCUGAGGCGAAGGCGGGUUGCUGGGCCGACACUGACGCUGAUGCGCGAAAGCCAGGGGAGCAAAC
rnacentral:rRNA from 1 species